GGGGGUGAACGGUUUCGACAUUGGACGUCGACGCAGGGGAAGCGGGCCGAGGAAGCCGUGAUGAUCUCGUUAACCACGAAACACGGCAAAAAAACAAAUGCCAACCAGAAGACGGUUGCCCGGAACACGAUGGCCCUCGCUGCCUGAUCUAGCUUCUCGCUAGUCCAGCAGUAAGGUUUCACCGCAGUUCCUUUGUCGCUCCAGGAUCGCCCCCGACCUGGCCGCGGCAUCAUCUAGGGGGCAAAACCUCACGAACAGGCCACGGGUGAGUGAGGGAACUUACGUGGCUGGGCUUGUCGGUGACCCGUCCCGGGGAUCGCCGGAGCCGAGAAAAGCGUUCGGGAAUACGCCCGUAGAAGCCCUGCAGAGCCGCCGAUGGACCCGGGUUCGAUUCCCGGCACCUCCACCG
rnacentral:tmRNA from 1 species